GCCACCCGCCCUGCCCGCAGCCCCCGCCGCGCGCUCGCGGCCUCCCGCACCGCUCCCUCUCAACCUUCACCAGUGUUUAGUCAGCGAGAGAGAUUUUCUUGUCCACCCCGAAGGAAAAAAGCUUGGCGAGGCAGAAGAGGAGAAGGUGAGGUGUGGAGUACCAGAUGUCGUAUUUUAAUGAUUUUAUGUAGCUUUUUUU